CCCGGAGUGAACCAUGGUGGGGUGUUAUUUACACCGGGGUAAUUAACCAAUCAGAUUGCAGUAUUUUUGCUGCAUAAGAAAUAAUAGCAGUUAUGAGCUAGUUCCAAGUAAAUACCAACUACUAAGUAAAUCUUUUUCACAACGACUGAAGUACCAGUCUUAGUCUGAGAAAUGUGUGACAUAAGCACAAUUAAAUAAAUACAUAAAAGACACUUCUAAUGAACGC
rnacentral:lncRNA from 1 species